rnacentral:rRNA from 1 species
UACGAGGGGGGCGAGCGUUGUUCGGAAUUAUUGGGCGUAAAGGGCGCGUAGGCGGUCGGAUAAGUCUUGUGUGAAAUCUUCGGGCUCAACUCGAAGUCUGCACGAGAAACUGUCCGGCUUGAGUGUGGGAGAGGUGAGUGGAAUUCCUGGUGUAGCGGUGAAAUGCGUAGAUAUCAGGAGGAACACCUGUGGCGAAAGCGGCUCACUGGACCACAACUGACGCUGAGGCGCGAAAGCUAGGGGAGCAAACAGG